GGCCCCUUGGUCAAGUGGUUAAGACACAGGCCUUUCACGCCUGUAACAGGGGUUCGAAUCCCCUAGGGGUCACCA
rnacentral:tRNA from 1 species